rnacentral:rRNA from 1 species
GACGAACGCUGGCGGCGUGCCUAACACAUGCAAGUCGAACGGAGAUACGAUUUCGGUUGUAUCUUAGUGGCGAACGGGUGAGUAACGCGUGAGCAACCUGACUCUCAGAGGGGGGAUAACACUCGGAAACGGGUGCUAAUACCGCAUAAGACCACGACAUGGCAUCAUGACGAGGUCAAAGGAGCAAUCCGCUGAGAGAGGGGCUCGCGUCCCAUUAGAUAGAUGGCGGGGUAACGGCCCACCAUGUCAGCGAUGGGUAGCCGAGCUGAGAGGCUGAUCGGCCACACUGGAACUGAGACACGGCCCAGACUCCUACGGGAGGCAGCAGUGGGGAAUAUUGGGCAAUGGGCGCAAGCCUGACCCAGCAACGCCGCGUGAGGGAAGAAGGCUUUCGGGUGUAAACCUCUGUCCUUGGUGACGAAAAAAUGACGGUAGCCAAGGAGGAAGCCCCGGCUAACUACGUG